rnacentral:rRNA from 1 species
UACGGAGGGGGCGAGCGUUAUUCGGAAUUAUUGGGCGUAAAGGGCGCGUAGGCGGCUUGACAAGUCAAAGGUGAAAUCCCUCGGCUCAACUGAGGAACUGCCUUUGAAACUGUCUGGCUUGAGGCCGGGAGGGGGUAGCGGAAUUCCCAGUGUAGCGGUGAAAUGCGUAGAUAUUGGGAGGAACACCAGUGGCGAAGGCGGCUCACUGGCCCGGUACUGACGCUGAGGAGCGAAAGCGUGGGGAGCGAACAGG